AUCAAUGUUCGGUAGCAGACCUGUAAUUUGCAAAUUGAAUGACAGGCAGCAUUGAAAAUGCACUGCAGUGGCCUUUUCUAGAUAUGAAGUGCAUUUACUCUGCUCACAUUUCCAUGGCCUGAGCUAAUUACUUGGUCUCAUCUAAAUGGAAAAAUAUGAUAAAAUAUAGUUUUCUAUGUGUAAAGGAUGGAGGAAUAUAAAACAAUUUGGAACAGAGUCUCGCUGUGCCUCCCAGGCUGGAGUGCAGUGGCACGUUCGCGGCUCAGUGCAACAUCCGCCUCCCGGAUUCACACCAUUCUCCUGCCUCAGCCUCCCGAGUAGCUGGGACUACAGGAGCCUGCCACCACGCCCAGCUAAUUUUUUGUAUUUUUAGUAGAGACAGGGUUUCACUGUGUUAGCCAGGAUGGUCUUGAUUUCCUGAUCUCGUGAUCCACCUGCCUUGGCCUCCCAAAGUGCUGGGAUUACAGGCGUGAGCCACCGUGCCGGGCCACAUGUCUUCUUUGUGCUAGGCACUGUUCCAACACUGAGGGUUUCACAGUGGGGACAAAAUUUAAGAGUACUAUGGAAUUUACAUUUAUAGCAACAGAAAGACAAAAAAUAAAUGAGAAAAAAAUCAAUAAAAUAGAAUGCUCAAAGUGUGAAUGAAAGAAGUAAAACCGGUAACAGAAGUGCAAGGGUGGUAGAGGGAGGAAAUUUAAUGUUAAAUAGUUUGACAAGAGAAGGUCUUUCCAUUAAAUUGAUUUCUGAGUAAAGAAUUUAUAAGGAAGUCUGAAAUGUAGAUGUCUCUAGGGAGACCAUUCCAGACAGAGAAACCAACAAGAAAAAGAAAUAUCCUGAAGCUGAACACAGGCGAAUGUUCUGGGAGUAGGAAUGAAGCCAGUGAGGCCAGAGGGAAGAAAGUCUAGAAUUAGAAAUCAGCGAGGUCAAGCAUAUGGCAAUGUAUUCUCUGAGAUCUUUCAAGCCAGAGCAGUGAGUUUGGCGUUUCAUGAAGGAAAGUCAUGGGAGUGAUUGAAGCAGAAAAAGAGAUAAUAUAUAGUCUACUGAGUCACUCUGGCUGCUGUGUGGAAAUGUAUGUUAAAGAGGGCCAAGAACAGAAGUAGAUCAUUUUGAGGCAAGAAUUGAUAUAAGAGAUGAUGCUCGCUCCAACUAGAAUAGUAGCAACAGAGAUGGUGAGAAAUUGUCAAGUUAUUGAUCCAUUUUGAAGGGAAAGUCAAAAGAAUUUGCUGAUAGAACAAAUUUAGAAUGUGAAAGUAAGAAUGGAACUCCCCUUUACCUAGAAGAGAAUUUGAGGAGAGAUUUGAGACAUAAAAUCAAGAGGCAUUCUGUAUAUAUUGUUUAGAGGCCUCAUAAAAUAACUAGGUGAAAGUGUUAAAAAAAUAACUGUGUGUUUAGGAGUCUGCAGUUUCAGUAAGAGAGAUUUUCCCUGAGACUAAAAUAAUAUCCAUUCAUGCUUCUUUUGUAUUUAUUAUACCCUAGGAACUGUUUUCUCUACUAUAUGUAUGAGUUUUUAAUUUAUACAAAAUUCCCAUAGGUACUAUUAUUAUCAACAUUUUACCAUGAGAAGGCUAAGACAUAAAGAAAUUAAGUAUUUGUGCCAAAGACAAAGAGUUACUAACUGAUAGAGCAAAUGUCUGUGUGUCUGUUAACCCUGCUUAUUGUCUCUCUUGGUAAUUAAUUAUCAUACAGCUAACAUUUAAAGCCAUGAAAUUAGGUGAAAUCCCCAGGGGAGAGUCAGGGAGAAUGGAAGAGUUCCAAGGAGGGGUGAAAAAUAACAUCUUAUGAGAAAGAAAACAAGCCAGGUUGUGCUGUCUUGGAAGCAAAGACAGUAUUUCAAGAAGGAUUUGAUCAUGUGUAUAAAAUUAUGCUGAUAGGCUAAAUUAGAAAGGCUUCUGGUUGGCUUUGGGGCUUAACUGCAUGGAGGAUUUGGGGAACCUUGAUGAAAUCAGCCCAGUGAAGGGACAAGUGUGAACUUCAGAGAGACAAAAAAUGAUGACAAGAAAUAGAGAUAAUUUUUGAAGAGUUAUUUUGGAAGCAGAACAAUGGCAAAGAAGGGUGGUUGGAUCAAAAAAGGAUUUUUUGUUUGCAUACAUUUUAAGUUAGAAAAACACGGCACUGUCUCUGCACUUUGCUGACGUAGAGUAUAUAAGCACAAGUGUAAAGAGGUGUUGGGAGUAGAGAAAAUUAUCAUGCUAUUUGGUUUAUUAAUUCAGUGAAUGAGAAAAACUCAUCAGCUUAGGGUAAGUCAAAGUUCUGAAGCUACAGGAAGGAAAAUGAAUAGGAGAGAUAGUAUAUAACUACUGUCAAUGAAAAGAGUCAAACUAUAUAAAAUAUUUUAAGAGAUUUAUUCUGAGCCAAAUAUGAGUGAUCAUGGUCCGUGGAGGUCCUGAGAACAUGUGCCCAAGGUGGUAGAGGUACAGCUUCGUUUUAUAUAUUUUAAGGAGGCAUGAGACAUCAAUCAAACACAUUUAAGAAAUACAUUGGUUUGGUUCAGAAAGGCGGGACAACUCAAAGUGGGGGCUUCCAGCGCUAUAGGUAAAUUUAAACAUUUUCUGGUUGACAGUUGAGUUUAUCUGAAGACCUGGGAUCAAUAGAAAGGAGAUGUUCAGGUUAAGAUAAAGGUUAUGGGACAUGAAGUUUUAUUGUGCAGAGGAAUAUCUCACAUAGCAGACUUCAGAGAGAGAGCAGGUGACAAAAUGUUUCUUAUUGGACCUAAAAGGGUGCCUGGUUCUUAGUUGGUUAUCUCAUGGAUCUGG
ensembl:lncRNA LINC02338 long intergenic non-protein coding RNA 2338